UCGAGGAUCUUCGUCAAUGGGCGCAAGCCUGAACGAGCGACGCCGCGUGUGCGAUGAAGGCCUUCGGGUUGUAAAGCACUGUCGAGGGGAACGAAGCCGAAAGGUUGACCGAUCCCUGGAGGAAGCACGGGCUAAGUUCGUGCCAGCAGCCGCGGUAAGACGAACCGUGCGAACGUUGUUCGGAAUCACUGGGCUUAAAGGGCGCGUAGGCGGCUCGCAAGGUCGGGGGUGAAAUCCCACGGCUUAACCGUGGAAGGGCCUUCGAUACCGGCGAGCUAGAGGAAGGUAGGGGUGCGCGGAACUUCUGGUGGAGCGGUGAAAUGCGUUGAUAUCAGAAGGAACGCCGGCGGCGAAAGCGGCGCACUGGAUCUUUUCUGACGCUGAGGCGCGAAAGCCAGGGGAGCAAACGGGAUUAGAUACCCCCGUAGUCC
rnacentral:rRNA from 1 species